rnacentral:rRNA from 1 species
AUUGAACGCUGGCGGCAUGCCUAACACAUGCAAGUCGAACGGAAACGAUGGGAGCUUGCUCCCAGGCGUCGAGUGGCGGACGGGUGAGUAAUACUUAGGAAUCUGCCCAGUAGUGGGGGACAACAUUCGGAAACGGAUGCUAAUACCGCAUACGCCCUACGGGGGAAAGCGGGGGAUCUUCGGACCUCGCGCUAUUGGAUGAGCCUAAGUCGGAUUAGCUUGUAGGUAGGGUAAUGGCCUACCUAGGCGACGAUCCGUAGCUGGUCUGAGAGGACGAUCAGCCACACUGGGACUGAGACACGGCCCAGACUCCUACGGGAGGCAGCAGUGGGGAAUAUUGGACAAUGGGCGCAAGCCUGAUCCAGCAAUGCCGCGUGUGUGAAGAAGGCCUGCGGGUUGUAAAGCACUUUCAGUAGAGAAGAAAAGCCUAGGGUUAAUACCCCUGAGUCUUGACGUAACCUACAGAAGAAGCACCGGCUAACUCCGUG